rnacentral:tRNA from 1 species
AGGCCCCGGGGUGUUACACGUGCGGUUGCAAACCGCAAGAAGCAGAAUAAAUUCCUGCCGGGGCUUC